rnacentral:rRNA from 1 species
AUUGAACGCUGGCGGAAUGCUUUACACAUGCAAGUCGAGCGGCAGCGCGGGGGCAACCCUGGCGGCGAGCGGCGAACGGGUGAGUAAUACAUCGGAACGUGUCCUUAAGUGGGGGAUAGCUCGGCGAAAGCCGGAUUAAUACCGCAUAAGCUCUGAGGAGGAAAGCGGGGGCUCCGUAAGGACCUCGCGCUGUUGGAGCGGCCGAUGUCGGAUUAGCUAGUUGGUGGGGAAAGGCCCACCAAGGCGACGAUCCGUAGCUGGUCUGAGAGGAUGAUCAGCCACACUGGAACUGAGACACGGUCCAGACUCCUACGGGAGGCAGCAGUGGGGAAUUUUGGACAAUGGGGGCAACCCUGAUCCAGCCGUUCCGCGUGAGUGAAGAAGGCCUUCGGUUGGUAA